rnacentral:rRNA from 1 species
AAGCAUAUCAAUAAGCGGAGGAAAAGAAACCAACAGGGAUUGCCUCAGUAACGGCGAGUGAAGCGGCAACAGCUCAAAUUUGAAAUCUGGCCUCUUGGGGUCCGAGUUGUAAUUUGUAGAGGAUGUUUCGGGUACCGCCCCGGUCUAAAUUUCUUGGAACAGAAUGUCAGAGAGGGUGAGAAUCCCGUCUUGGACCGGUGGUAGGGCCUAUGUGAAACUCCUUCGACGAGUCGAGUUGUUUGGGAAUGCAGCUCAAAAUGGGUGGUAAAUUUCAUCUAAAGCUAAAUAUUGGCCAGAGACCGAUAGCGCACAAGUAGAGUGAUCGAAAGAUGAAAAGCACUUUGAAAAGAGAGUUAAACAGUAUGUGAAAUUGUUGAAAGGGAAGCGCUGGCAAUCAGACUUGCGCGCGGCGGUUCCCCCUGCCUUUUGGCUGGGUUAUUCCGCCGUGUCCAGGCCAACAUCGGUUCUGGGGGCCGGUUAAAGGCCUUGGGAAUGU